CAUCCCGAACACGGAAGUUAAGCUCUCCAGCGCCGAUGGUAGUUGGCGGGACACCGCCUGCGAGAGUAGGACGUUGCCGGGC
rnacentral:rRNA from 1 species